GGGGACGUAGCUCAGCUGGUAGAGCGCCGCGUUCGCAAUGCGGAGGCCGGGGGUUCGAAUCCCCCCGUCUCCACCA
rnacentral:tRNA from 1 species